UCUCCCUAAAGGAGGUGGUCAUAGAUCAUAGUGAUUUCAACAAAUGAUGUCAGGGUGGGGUGAGUGCAGUAAUGCAGUUGGACUGGGGGAAGGGUUCUGGAGACAGCAAAAAGAACCGGUUCGUUCUGGGGAACAAGUGCAUGAGGUAUCACAGAGGAAGAGCAGCAAGCUGGGUGCUGAAGGAUGAAAAAGGAAAUGGGAAGAACAAGAAGGAAACACAGAACACCAGAUGUAGAUAUUUUGGAAGCACAGUCUGCCUGUGGACAGAUCAUUCUUUUUCCACAUAUUUUCUCUUCAACCAUUAAGACAGCAUAAAGAGCAGAAUGCCAUGGAAAGAAGCCUUCUAAGCAUCUUUUCAAACUUGCUGACUGUGUGCUUUGGAGUAGAAGUGUCAUCAACAGUGACUCCCAGCGGGGUGUCCCUGAGUGCCCCUGGGUGGCCAGUGCCACCUAACCCCUGAAUUUUCUGAGUUGUAGGUGUGUAUUUGAAAUCUUGGUGACCUCUAGUUGCUUAAGCGUUUAUGCUUGGUGGAGGGGAUCUAAUUAAAUACUCAGAAAACUACAGAAGCAAGAUAGUUCUAUAUUGUGCACACAUGUGUGGUAGGAGGGAAGUGGGGUACUGGGGUUGGACCAUAAAACUCCUCAAGAAUUGCAAGCUUAAAUUUUAAUGUAAUCAAUCAAAAGGAAAUAAAAUGAAAUGAAGUGGAUUAGUACAACCUUUUAACGAGAAAGAAAUUUUAAUACUGAAUUAUGUGUAGCUAUGUGCUUUUAAAAAAAAACAUUAAUUUGGAAGUUCUUGAAUUCUAUAAUGAAUAUCCAAUAUGUCCUGAAAUUUUAUAAACAUAUUUUACAUUUAUGCAUUUUUAAAAAGUUUUAAUAUUGGG
rnacentral:lncRNA from 1 species